rnacentral:rRNA from 1 species
GGUCAAGUAAGAAAGGGCAUACGGGGGAUGCCAUUGGCAUCAGGAGGCGAGGAAGGACGUGGUUUGCUGCGAUAAGCGACGGGGAGUUGUAAACAAGCCUUGAUCCGUCGAUUUCCGAAUGGGAGAACCCAUUAAGCUAUGAUUUAUCAUAGCGGCGAUACCUGGGGAAUUGAAACAUCUAAGUACCCGGAGGAAGAGAAAGAAACAUCGAUUUCGUAAGUAGCGGUGAGCGAAAGCGAAGGAGCCUAAACCUUUGUCUAUGUUAAAGGACUGGACCGUUGUAGCGAAGGUGUUGUAGGACUUACGUGCACAGGCUAGUGAGUGCGAUAGAGUUAAAAAGUUUGCGGAUAUCAGAAUGGUAUUGGGAAAGCCAACCAUAGAGGGUGAGAGUCCCGUAAGUUAAAUCCGUGAAUCUCU